AUGAUGUUUAUAAAUACCGCCCCAGUCUGAAAAGACGUGUUGAUUGGUUUUCAAUACUGAUA
rnacentral:snoRNA from 1 species